rnacentral:lncRNA from 10 species
UAUGGAUCUACCCAAAGGAAUAAAGUUCCAAGUGUUGGUAAAGAUGUAGAACAACUGAAACUUUCAUACACUGCUGGUGGAAAUAUAAAAUGGUACACCCACUUUGGAGAAAUGUUUGACAGUUUCUUACAAAAUUAAACACCAUAUCAUCCAGUAAUCCUACUCCUGGAUAUUUACCCAAGAUAAACUAAGAUAUAUGUCCACAAAAAGAUAUACUAGGAUGUUUACAGGAGUUUUAUUCAUAAUAGUAAAAAACUAGAAAUAGCCCAAAGUCCAUCAACAGAUAAAAGGAUAAACGGUGAUAUAUUCAUACAAUAGACUUCUACUCAGCAAUUAAAAGGAACAAGCUACUGAUAGAUGCCAUGGCAUGGAUAAAUCACAUAGACAUGCUGAGUCAUAGAAGUCAGACACAAAAGACUACUGUUAUGAACUGAUUGUGUCCCUCGCAAAAUUCGUAAGUUGAAAUCCUUUCCUACAAUGUGACUGUAUUUGGAGAUGGGGCCUUUAAAGAGGUAAUUAAAGUUAAAUGAAGUCAAAGGGCCAAUAAGUCAAAUCCAAUAGGAACCUAUUGAAUUGGGGCUCUAACCCAAUAGGACUAGUGUCCUUAUAAAAAGAGGAAGAGACACCAAAGAUGUGUGUGUCCUGAGAAAAGGCCAUGUGAGGACACAGCCAGAAGACAGCCAUCUGCAAGCCAAAGAGAGAGGCCUCAGAAGAAACCAAACCUGCCGACAUCUUCAUCUUGGACUUCCAGUCUUUAAAACUGUAAAAAAUAAAUUUCCAUUGCUUAAGCCACCCAGUCUGUGGUAUUUUUUGGCAGCUCUACCUGCCAAAUACAACUACAUAUUGUACAAUUCUAUUUAUAUGAAGUUUUAGAACAGGUAAGGCAGAUCAGUGGUUGCCUGGGCCCUGGGAUAAGGAGACAGAUACUGACUGCAAACGGGGACAAGGAAACCUUUGGGGAUGAUGGAAAUAUUCUGUUUUACUGUGGUGGUGGCUGCAUGGAUAUAUGUAUUUGUAAAACUCAUCAAAAUGUACACUUAAAAUUGGCACAUUUAUGAAAA